GUGUUCACUGCAUUCAAACUGGUUGGAAGCACUGACUACUACAAGACAAGUUCCCAGGAAAACACAACAAACAUUGGAUGAAUUCUGAAUUAUUAACUGUGGUAAUUUUGCCUCCUGGUUGACAAGAGGGAGGGUUUCUGGCACGGGGCUGCUUGCUGAAAAUCAUCAUGACACUCCUGGGGUCUGAGCAUUCUUUGUUGAUUCGGAGCAAGUUCAGAUCAGCAUUGCAAAACCAAACUAUAUUCCAAGAGCCAAGAAAAGGAUUUGAUAAGACUGAAGAUUAUUUAAAACACAAGGUCAGAAAUAGACCUGAAGGGACCAACUUGAUCAACAUGCAUAUUUUACAAGGAUCUUACAGGGUUUGGACAACAAUCUUCUUGGAUGUAGAUCAAGCAGUUGAGAAAAUGAAGCAUCUUCUCUCUUAUGUCUUCCUUGGACCCUAAUUCACCAUGUGUUCUCCAAUCAAAAACACUGACAUUUUACUAUGCCCCCUCAAUUUUACCCAGGCUUAUAACAUGAGUCUGUGGGUACAAUAAGUCAUAAAAAAAAUCUGUUAAGGUAGCCUUAAAUAGGAUGUCUAAUCCUUUAACAGUGAAAACUCUAAGGUUUUUUUAACUUGGGUUUUUUAAUCAACUACAGAUCCUUUGCAC
rnacentral:lncRNA from 1 species